GAUGAACGCUGGCGGCGUGCCUAAUACAUGCAAGUCGAGCGAACAGACGAGGAGCUUGCUCCUCUGACGUUAGCGGCGGACGGGUGAGUAACACGUGGAUAACCUACCUAUAAGACUGGGAUAACUUCGGGAAACCGGAGCUAAUACCGGAUAAUAUAUUGAACCGCAUGGUUCAAUAGUGAAAGACGGUUUUGCUGUCACUUAUAGAUGGAUCCGCGCCGCAUUAGCUAGUUGGUAAGGUAACGGCUUACCAAGGCGACGAUGCGUAGCCGACCUGAGAGGGUGAUCGGCCACACUGGAACUGAGACACGGUCCAGACUCCUACGGGAGGCAGCAGUAGGGAAUCUUCCGCGAUGGGCGAAAGCCUGACGGAGCAACGCCGCGUGAGUGAGGAAGGUCUUCGGAUCGUAAAACUCUGUUAUUAGGGAAGAACAAAUGUGUAAGUAACUAUGCACGUCUUGACGGUACCUAAUCAGAAAGCCACGGCUAACUACGUG
rnacentral:rRNA from 1 species